AUCACCAAAAUCAACUAGUAACACUUGAUCUCAUCGGAACUCCGCAGCUAAGUGUGUUUAGGCGAGAGUAUAGUAUUAGAAUGGUCCAUCUUUUGAGAAAUCCUCCUAUUACAUCUC